rnacentral:RNase_P_RNA from 1 species
CGAGUUGAUUAUACGGUCGCGUGGCGCUCUUCGCGCCAUGAGGAAAGUCCGAGCACCGCAGAGCAGGACGCCGGAUAACGUCCGGUGGAGGCGACUCCAAGGAUAGUGCAACAGAAACAGACCGCAGAGCAAUCUGCAAGGAUGGAAAGGGGAGGUAAGA